AUUGAACGCUGGCGGCAGGCCUAACACAUGCAAGUCGAGCGGAUGAAGGGAGCUUGCUCCUGGAUUCAGCGGCGGACGGGUGAGUAAUGCCUAGGAAUCUGCCUGGUGGUGGGGGAUAACGUCCGGAAACGGGCGCUAAUACCGCAUACGUCCUGAGGGAGAAAGUGGGGGAUCUUCGGACCUCACGCUAUCAGAUGAGCCUAGGUCGGAUUAGCUAGUUGGUGGGGUAAAGGCCUACCAAGGCGACGAUCCGUAACUGGUCUGAGAGGAUGAUCAGUCACACUGGAACUGAGAAACGGUCCCGACUCCUACGGGAGGCAGCAGUGGGGAAUAUUGGACAAUGGGCGAAAGCCUGAUCCAGCCACGCCGCGUGUGUGAAGAAGGUCUUCGGAUUGUAAAGCACUUUAAGUUGGGAGGAAGGGCAGUAAGUUAAUACCUUGCUGUUUUGACGUUACCAACAGAAUAAGCACCGGCUAACUUCGUG
rnacentral:rRNA from 1 species